GAUGAACGCUGGCGGCGUGCCUAAUACAUGCAAGUCGAGCGAACGGACGCGAAGCUGCUUUCUUUGUUGUUAGCGGCACGCGGGUGAGUAACACGUGGGUAACCUCCCGCUCUUACUGGGAUAACUUCGGGAAUGCGGCGCUAAUACGGGAUAAUAUUUUCAAGCGCAUGGUUCAAAAGAGAAAGACGGUCUUGGUGUCACCUAUAGGUGGAUCCGCGUUGGGUUAGCUAGAUGGUAAGGUAACGGCUUAACAAGGCAACGAUGGAUAGCCGAGCUGAGCGGGUGAGAGCGCACACUGGAACUGAGACGCGGUCCAGGCUCCUACGGGAGGCCGCAGUAGGGAAUCGAGGGCAAUGGGCGAAAGACUGACGGAGCAACGCCGGGCGAGUGAUGAAGGUCUGCGGAGCGGAAGACUCUGUUAUUGUGGAAGAACAUAUGUGUAAGUGACUGAGCACAUUGUGACGGUACCUAAACAGAAAGCCACGGCUAACUACGUG
rnacentral:rRNA from 1 species